rnacentral:tRNA from 1 species
ACCUAGGUGGCUCAGUGGUUGAGCAUCUGCCUUCCACUCAGAUCGUGAUCCUGGGUC